rnacentral:lncRNA from 1 species
CCGAUUACAAUUACGAUGAAAAAAAUUAGUCAUGAUUACGAUUAACGUUCGAUUACUUGCACACGUCUAGUUUUUUCAUGUAGAAAAGAAUAAACCAAAAACCUGUAAAGUGUUCUGUUGUAAAGAGUCAAGUUUAUUUAUUUUAAUAUUUGUAUAAACUUUAAAAUCAUUACCAGGACUUAAUCUUGUCAAUCGAAUUUAAGGCUUUUCAAACCUUUCUGUAUCCAUUUAAUACACCAUAGCAGUAUGUCUAAAAAUAAAAAAGUACUCCUGUCAUUUCUCGCUGUCGUCAAUAUGAAACUGAAGGAAUUUUCUCUGUAUUUUUUGACUAAUUUUUUCUUUCAAAUUUGCAGGGUGGCCGUCAGAUAAAGAUCAGGAAGCAGGCUCAAAGCAAAGUGUCUCUCCUUUAGAAUUACCCGCUCCAGAGCGACUUUUGCCUAUCGGUGCUGCGCCAGUGAAUAGAGAAGGCAUGGUAUCUCUUGUGCGCCAUGUGAGCAAUGUUCUAGGGAUAUCCAACUCAAACGACUCUAAAACAUCAGAUGCUAGCCUGUCUGGCACUAUCAGUGAAUCGCUAUCUACCUCUCCUCUUCCUAAACAAGAUAGUUUAGACAAGCCGAUCAGUCAGAGCAGCACCAGUGUAAGUCCUCGCCGGCUAAUCAAACAAGUAGCUCUGGAGUCACCGCCACCCCAACUUCAAGACUCUGUAUUUUCUUCUGUGUUUAGGUCAGAGGAUUCCAAAAAUUAUCGCCAACCAUUACGAAAAUCAACCAGCCCGCAUUCCUUGUCUGCUGAGCAUUCCAAACGUCCUGAAGCAUGGUAAUUGUGCCUAAAAUUUUAAAAAUUUGAUACCUAGUAUAUCAAUAUAAUAAUUUUAUACCUCCAUACUCAAACUUACUUUAAAUAUUAAGAUUGUGGGUCACUCUAGAAAAUUGAGAAAAUCAUGCCAAAAUCAAGAUAUUUAUUUUCAACUUAAUUUUUCUUAUGAUGCUUUAUAUGACUUACUUUUUUGGUGGAAAAAGUCAGGAUGGUAACGGGAAAUUUAAAUUUAAAAAAAUGAAAUGAAAUGGAGGAAAUUUUUCCCAAAUCCCAAGGAAACAUACAGAUAUUUUUGUCCUUGCGACCUGUUCCUCCUGAGAUAAAAUUCUAUUUUAAUGAGGGAAAGGAUUCCAAAAAAAUUAUAUGUGAUCUUUAAUAAUAUUGGAUUUUUUUUGUCAUUUACAUUUUGAAUAUUUCUUAUUUUAUAAUAGGAAUCAAAGAAAUCACACCCCCCUCGAUCCUGCUGUACAAUUUGCUUGUCAUGCUGCUACAGAUUUAAAAUUAAGUGCCUCCCGCACUGGUGAUGAAUGUGUCAUCAACAGGUAUAAUUUGCACCUUACUUUUAUGCAAAUGUUAGUUUUAUUUUCAUAGUUAGUUCGAUUCUUUCAUCAAUCAUAGUUAUGGUGCAAUAAUUUCGCUGGGAGCAAAGAAAGCGCCUCCUCCGCUUCAGGCACAGUUUUGAAAUAGCACCACUGCUAUUCCAUUUUGGUUAGAUGUAAAAAAUGAGCUCCACUUCUUGCCACAAGAGAAUUUCAACUCUUCAGUCGCUAUUAGACCUUUGUCACAAGGGUAUCGAAUUCUUGGGAUUGGAAUUGGUUCCAAAUGAUUGUAUAUUUUUAACUAUUUUUGAUUCAUACUUACGCAACACAACGAUUAUAACUGCAGAUUCAUACAACAAUCUUAGAGGGUUCAACAGCUGUGAUAGAACUUUUUCUCAUUGUGAACUUUUUUCAGUCAGUUGGAGGUUGGACCUCAUUUCCAAAAGGUGAGAUUUUGUCAUUGUUAGGAUCCAAUUUUUUGUACAAGAAGUUCUAAUGACGUGAUUAGUAGCAUUUGUCGAGAAACCCAUGAGUUAGGCUUCCAUAAGUUACUUUUUUA